rnacentral:ncRNA from 1 species
GAAUCUUAUUGGCAAACUUAUUGAAAAAUAAGGACGCAAAACUAUGGGUCUAAUGAUGUCGCAUCAAUGACUGCCAGGUUGCAUCA